GUGGUAGAGCUUUGUGCAAGCUCGUCUGGGUAGGUACCGCCCACUCAUCAGAUAUUCUAUCGCAAAACAGCAGUACUUGGUAUUGUUGUGUUCCGGUAUGAAGGGUGAGUGAGCCAGUGUAAUUACAGGCACAAGGGACAUAACAUCUUAGUUCCCAAGGUUGGUGGCACUUUGGCGAUGUAAGCGAUGGUUAACAUUUCUUACAAUGCCAAUGUCUAUGGGCAUUGGUGACC